rnacentral:rRNA from 1 species
UACGAAGGGUGCAAGCGUUACUCGGAAUUACUGGGCGUAAAGGGCGCGUAGGCGGAUAGUUUAGUCAGAGGUAAAAGCCCAGGGCUCAACCUUGGAACUGCCUUUGAUACUGGCUAUCUUGAGUUCGGGAGAGGUGAGUGGAACUGCGAGUGUAGAGGUGAAAUUCGUAGAUAUUCGCAAGAACACCAGUGGCGAAGGCGGCUCACUGGACCGACACUGACGCUGAGGCGCGAAAGCGUGGGGAGCAAACAGG